rnacentral:rRNA from 1 species
CCCAAAGCGGAGGAAAAGAAACCAACUGGGAUUACCUUAGUAACGGCGAGUGAAGCGGUAAAAGCUCAAAUUUGAAAUCUGGUACUUUCAGUGCCCGAGUUGUAAUUUGUAGAAUUUGUCUUUGAUUAGGUCCUUGUCUAUGUUCCUUGGAACAGGACGUCAUAGAGGGUGAGAAUCCCGUUUGGCGAGGAUACCUUUUCUCUGUAAGACUUUUUCGAAGAGUCGAGUUGUUUGGGAAUGCAGCUCAAAGUGGGUGGUAAAUUCCAUCUAAAGCUAAAUAUUGGCGAGAGACCGAUAGCGAACAAGUACAGUGAUGGAAAGAUGAAAAGAACUUUGAAAAGAGAGUGAAAAAGUACGUGAAAUUGUUGAAAGGGAAGGGCAUUUGAUCAGACAUGGUGUUUUUUGCAUGCACUCGCCUCUCGUGGGCUUGGGCCUCUCAAAAAUUUCACUGGGCCAACAUCAAUUCUGGCAGCAGGAUAAAUCAUUAAGAAUGUAGCUACUUCGGUAGUGUUAUAGCUUUUUGGAAUACUGUUAGCCGGGAUUGAGGACUGCGCUUCGGCAAGGAUGUUGGCAUAAUGGUUAAAUGCCGCCCGUCUUGA